GAUGAACGCUGGCGGCGUGCCUAAUACAUGCAAGUCGAGCGAACAGACGAGGAGCUUGCUCCUCUGACGUUAGCGGCGGACGGGUGAGUAACACGUGGAUAACCUACCUAUAAGACUGGGAUAACCUCGGGAAACCGGAGCUAAUACCGGAUAAUAUAUUGAACCGCAUGGUUCAAUAGUGAAAGACGGUUUUGCUGUCACUUAUAGAUGGAUCCGCGCCGCAUUAGCUAGUUGGUAUGGUAACGGCUUACCAAGGCAACGAUGCGUAGCCGACCUGAGAGGGUGAUCGGCCACACUGGAACUGAGACACGGUCCAGACUCCUACGGGAGGCAGCAGUAGGGAAUCUUCCGCAAUGGGCGAAAGCCUGACGGAGCAACGCCGCGUGAGUGAUGAAGGUCUUCGGAUCGUAAAACUCUGUUAUUAGGGAAGAACAAAUGUGUAAGUAACUAUGCACGUCUUGACGGUACCUAAUCAGAAAGCCACGGCUAACUACGUG
rnacentral:rRNA from 1 species